rnacentral:rRNA from 1 species
UACGUAGGGAGCGAGCGUUGUCCGGAUUUAUUGGGCGUAAAGAGCUCGUAGGCGGCUUGGUAUGUCGGGUGUGAAAUCCCCGGGCUCAACCUGGGAACUGCAUCCGAAACUGCCUUGCUAGAGUAUGGGAGAGGGAAGUGGAAUUUCCGGUGUAGCGGUGAAAUGCGUAGAUAUCGGAAGGAACAUCAGUGGCGAAGGCGACUUCCUGGACCAAUACUGACGCUCAGGUGCGAAAGCGUGGGGAGCAAACAGG